UCUCCGUAGGUGAACCUGCGGAGGGAUCAUUACAGAGUUCAUGCCCUACCGGGUAGAUCUCCCACCCUAUGUUAUUAUUACUUUGUUGCUUUUGCGCGCCGUUAGGCUCCGGCCCGACUACCGGCCCCGGCUGGUCAGCGCCCUCCAGAGGAACAAAAACACUGAAUCUUAGUAUCGUCUGAGUAAUAUAUAAUAGUUAAAACUUUCAACAACGGAUCUCUUGGUUCUG
rnacentral:misc_RNA from 1 species